ACCUUUCAGUCUGGAAGUGGACGUUACUCGCAGAAUAAGCACCGGCUAACUCUGUGCCAGCAGCCGCGGUAAUACAGAGGGUGCGAGCGUUAAUCGGAUUUACUGGGCGUAAAGCGUGCGUAGGCGGCCAUUUAAGUCAAAUGUGAAAUCCCCGAGCUUAACUUGGGAAUUGCAUUCGAUACUGGAUGGCUAGAGUAUGGGAGAGGAUGGUAGAAUA
rnacentral:rRNA from 1 species